GAUGAACGCUGGCGGCGUGCCUAAUACAUGCAAGUCGAGCGAACGGACGAGAAGCUUGCUUCUCUGAUGUUAGCGGCGGACGGGUGAGUAACACGUGGAUAACCUACCUAUAAGACUGGGAUAACUUCGGGAAACCGGAGCUAAUACCGGAUAAUAUUUUGAACCGCAUGGUUCAAAAGUGAAAGACGGUCUUGCUGUCACUUAUAGAUGGAUCCGCGCUGCAUUUGCUAGUUGGUAAGGUAACGGCUUACCAAGGCAACGAUGCAUAGCCGACCUGAGAGGGUGAUCGGCCACACUGGAACUGAGACACGGUCCGGACUCCUACGGGAGGCAGCAGUAGGGAAUCUUCCGCAAUGGGCGAAAGCCUGACGGAGCAACGCCGCGUGAGUGAUGAAGGUCUUCGGAUCGUAAAACUCUGUUAUUAGGGAAGAACAUAUGUGUAAGUAACUGUGCACAUCUUGACGGUACCUAAUCAGAAAGCCACGGCUAACUACGUG
rnacentral:rRNA from 1 species